UUCGCAAUGCCCGAAAGGGUGACGAAGCGACGCCGCGUGCGGGAAGAAGGCCUUCGGGUUGCAAACCGCUGUCGGGGGUUAAGAAAUGUAAGGAUGUUAAUAGCAUCUUUGCUUGACUAAGGCUCCGGAGGAAGCCACGGCUAACUCUGUGCCAGCAGCCGCGGUAAUACAGAGGCGGCAAGCGUUGUUCGGAAUUAUUGGGCGUAAAGAGCACGUAGGCGGCUAUGUAAGUCGGUUGUGAAAGCCUUCCGCUCAACGGGAGAACAGCAUCCGAUACUGCAUGGCUUGAGUGCGGGAGGGGAGAGUGGAACUUCUGGUGGAGCGGUGAAAUGCGUAGAUAUCAGAAGGAACGCCGGCGGCGAAAGCGGCUCUCUGGCCCAUAACUGACGCUGAGUGUGCGAAAGCUAGGGGAGCAAACGGGAUUAGAUACCCCGGUAGUCCUAGCCGUAAACGAUGGGCACUAAGUAGAGGGGUUUU
rnacentral:rRNA from 1 species